UCCUUUACUUGUCAGACGGCUCUGUUGUUGUUGUGGGAGCUCAACUGAGGAGAUUUGAUUUACAAGACGAAGAGAUAAAACAUGAAUAUGACAAACUACUUUACAAGAAAAGACGGAUUUGUAACAGUCAACAGUUCAGUUAGAGGACGAAAAUCCCGAGCAUCUGAAACAUAUUUACCUGACUGAAAAGAAACGAUUAGAUGAAGAAGAAGAAGAGGAGAGAAAGAAGAAGAGAUGGAAAGAAAGAGAGAGCAGUGGAUGAAGAGGAGAAACUCAAACACAACACCUGACAUCUCUGCUGACCCAACUCAUUCAUGUCAUGAAACAGAAAUCACAACACAAUCUGAAAGAUAAACCUCACAAAAUUAUGACUGUUUAUUAUUAUCUGUUUUUCAUUUGUAUUAUUUUAAAAUUGUGUUUUGUGUUUUAUUGUUGUGUAGCUUUAUUGAAUGAAAACACAGAAGAUAAUGAGAAGAUAAAGAAGGAGCUGAGAGGAUAAAAAGAGGAAUUCAAGACAAAACUCCAAGAAGAGUGAACUCGAGCUCAAUCUACAGAUGAAUCUGUUACUGCAGAAGAUCCAAACUCAACACAAAUCAUUCAAUAGCAGUAAGACUCAAAACCCUCAGGUUUAAAUUGUUUAAAACAUUGUGAUGUUGAAAUGCACCUUCACACAAGAAACUGUGCUGUUUAGACGGCCGUUUAAAUAAAACCACAUUUAUGUACAGUAUGAUGCUCUCUGAUAUUUUAUUUAUACUCUUGUCCAACCAGUCAUAAAAAUAAAGUACAUUUGUAACUUCUCUAUAAAAGCAAAGCAUGUGAUAUUCAAUAAAAAACUAUUUGAGAUAUCAAUAAAUCAUCAGGCACUGUAGCUUUAGUAGCAAAAUUUGAUCACUUAUAUGAUUUUAAGCUGUAAUAUGAUUUCAUGACAUGAGACAGUGGGUGUGGUUAUUGAGUCACACAGUCCCUCCCACUUUGUUUGGCUCCUCCCCCACAUCAUCAUAAUCUGUUGUGUAAAACAAAGCACAUUCAUAUUCUAUUUAUAUUAUAACUGUAUGAAGAUUUUAAACUGAACUAUUUAAAAAGAUAAUAUAUAAAGGUAAAAUAUAUUAUAAUAUACAUCUUUAAAUGAGAUCUAGAGGUUAAUAACCUACCUAACAUGUUUGUCACAUCUUCAUUGUCAUUCUUCACAUCAUCAUACUCCUCCUGAACUCCCUCUGAUGAAGUCACAUGACAAACAACUCAUAUUGUGAUUUGUAAUACAUCAUGUCUCAUGUCAUAGAUACAUUUCUCUUUCUGACACUAACUGAUAACAGCUGAUAAAGUCACAAUGACUGGAUUAAUGCU